CCGUCUACGAGGUUUCCGAAAACUUUCACUGUAAGUUUUUUUCUGGCUGUAAUUACUACACAUUCAGCAAUUUGAGAUCAUAGUACGCCGCCUAGGGCGAUUUCACGAUUGCAUGUUGACGCUGUGUUAAUUUUUUAUUCUGUAGUAGAAUGCACGCCAUGUGUUUGAUGAAUGAGCUGUAGAACAUUUUUUUCUUUCAAGCUUGACUCGUUUGAUAAUUCAAUUGAAUCGAAUCGAUCUAAUUCAUAUUUUUCAAUCCUCAGUUUGGCUUCAUUGUUUAAACUUUUACAUGUUUGACUGUUUGAUUAGCUCCAUUUGAUUGAAGCUACUCCGCGGGCGCGUGUGUUUUGUAUAUUGACUGAACCACAGCCAACACUUGAGUAAUUGAAUGAAAAACUGAAUGCAUGGUAUAAUGCAUGUGUCGUAAUUUAAAGUCAUUGAAUUGAAUUAUAAUGCAUUUGCCAUACAUUUUCUACCGUAAAACCAUUCGAUCCGAUUAAUAAAAGAAUAUUAAAAAGGAGGACUUUUACCUAGUGGGAUUUAGGAGCAUGAUUAAUGAUUAAUGGGGAGAUGUAGAAUGGCAGGGCAAUUCUCCUUUGGCAGAACUCGUUACAUUUUGAAAUGCAACGACAUUUUAUUCUGCCAGAGGAGAACUACGCUGUUAUUCUUCUCCACUUCCUAUACUGCUUUGCACCUCGGAGACUUCAGUUUUGACUCUGCCUCUCUCGAGCUUCGAUGGUGGAGUUUUAUGCUCAACUAUUCGCACCCUAAAUGGAUAUUCUCCUGUGAAGUGAAUGGUAUAUGCCGUGGAACAAUGCCUCUUAAGCAAUUCUUUCACUUUUUCGUGUUGCAGUCAUGGUCCCCGUUACCUUAGGUGUGUCCUUUAUGUGUCAUCAAGAUAAUGUUUUACUGCUGCGAAUAUCAAGAAUAAAACCAAAUUUAUAGAUGCCAUUGUGAUUAAAAGCUCGUAAUAAGUUACCUACAAUGUUGUUAUUAAGGUUUUUUUGCAUAAUAAUGUAGAUGUCAGGACAUUGCUUUUAUGUUUUGUCAUACGUAGAUGUCAGGACAUUGCUUUUAUGAUUUAUGUAUACAAUGCAAUAUUUAUGUCCAUAAAUUUCAUGCAUAUGCCUAAAAUAUGUAGUAGCAUGCAUUAACCUUAAGAUUGAGGCUUUAAGAGAUAGAUGAAAUGACUUUAUCCUUUUCAUUUAGACUACAGGAAUACUAGGUCAAUCCAAAGAAAUAACAUCAUUCGAGUGGAAAUGAAACAUUCUCUUCCGAUUUUCCGUACAAGUGAUGUUACAUUUUUAUAAACUCACAUUUAUGUACCUCUGAUUUAAAGUAGUUUCUUUAGUACGCCAUCAUGAAAAAAUCAUCUGAAACGAACCACCUGCUGAUGCUCAGUUAGCCAUGAUAUGAUUUCUAUUGAAACACGACAGAUUUAAUUUCUAGAGUUAGGACCACAAAUCUGGAAUUUGGACCACUGUUUUAGGAUUAGUCAUCUAAAGAUAAUAUAACGCUAAUACAAGAUUUCCAUGCUCCAAGCAUGCACAUGUUGUGCUAAAAACCACACAUGGAUAUAUCGGUUUAUCGUAUUGUAACCUGUGUCAAAAGGUUGGGUUGCUUAAACAUGCCAAAAUUCUGUGAUCUGUGUUUCGGAUUUUGUCUAAAAAACUUCCUCCAAGAUAAGGGAACUAAAAAUUAUCCUAACUCAUAUACAGAUGCUUUUACUGAGUAUGAUCCCACUCUUUUACUGAAGCAUCUCUUACUAAAAUCAACAGCAGCAAGUGAAGAGUUAUAUUAGAAACUUUUAUGAGUUGAUGAUGUCUGAUAAGGUGCAGUUUUUUGUUCUUUUAUUGAGCACUGAUUUGUUUUAGUUUUCUUUCUUAUGCUAAGUAGCGUUUUAAUCUUCCUGAAUAACAGAUAUCAAGCGUUACCGUCAGUGGAUCUUAUCAACUUCACAAGCCUCUAAACUGUGUAAGUUUUUUAUCCUCAUUAAACUUGGAGAUUUGAAGAAAGUUGAUAUUCGUCAUUUUUAAAUAGCUUAUUAGUUCCAUUUCGAAGUAUGAAUUCAACAUAUCCAUUUUGUUAUCUUUUUAAAUUGAUAAAUCAGAGCAACAAUGUGGAGAUAGCUUUUGGAACAAAAGUGAUCAAUUUCUAGUAACCACAAACUACUUAAUGAAAUAUAAUCCAAUAAAAAAAACAAAUAAUAAUAAUAUUUAUGAAUAUUAAUAUUAAUAUAAUCAGUUUCAGAAAAUAUGAGCCUAUAUUAAUAUAAGACAUUUCAUCUUGUGUGUGUCUAAGAAAUAAGUAUAUUGAAAGACAUUCAUGAACUCAAUUAAAAAAGCCUCCAUCCUUCAUCUGGUUAUUUAUUACAUUUGCUCAAAGUUGAACAUAAAUACUUGAGAUUGUAAUGUUUAUAGAUUAAAAUAUAGCACAGUAUGAGAAAAAAGAGAACAAAAAGACGAUUAGUUCCUGCAAAACUUGAAAUUUAUUAGCAUUGUGGGAUUGAAUGGCAGGGCAAUUCUCCUUUGGCAAAGAAAUAAGUAUGCAUUUGCAUGUCUUCCCUGCCAAAAGAGAAUCACACUGUUAUUCCUUUUUCCCACAGAAUUAACUUUACUAAGGCUGCAUGCAUGCUUUUAUUAUUGGAGUUCAUGUCUUUUAACACCAGAUACCAGGCUUUUAUAUAGGAACCGCCUAUACAGUUUUCGCACCUUCGUAUGGAUAUUCUGAAGGAAGAAACGGCAUAUGCUUUGGGACUAUUGCUCUACAGUUUUUUUACCCUUUACUUUUCAUCGGGGCCAUGGUACAAAAGUUCUGACCUUCACUCUCCCAUUUUUCGUUCUAUGGAUAUGCUAUUUUACUUGCAGAAUAUGUUAGAAUAUAAUAUUGUGCAUGUGCUUUGUCAUUUCACAAGGAAUUUGAUCCUUGAUUUGCUUUAACAUAUAUAUAUACACACACACACACACACACACACGUAUAUAUAAGAUUCCCCUUUUAUUUAUGUUUUUAAUAAAUACAAGUUAAUCAUACAUCAUCUUUUGCAUUAGUUGCUCCCACAUGAAGAACUUUGUAGUUUUGUCAUGAUAACAUGUUGGUGGUGUGAGACCGAGUUUAAGACUCGAUGAUUAGGUUUUGAACGUUUAUAAUUUGAUAAAUUAAGAUUAAUCAGGAACUUCGAUAAGUUUGUGUCCGCAGUUAUUUAGUACAGUAAAGAUUAAUUCUAUAUGGUUAGUGGUCUAAGUUGGUACAGCACCACGUAUAAUGGACGUGAUCAAGAAUCAAGAAUUACCAAGAAUUACUAAGAAUUACGAUAGUGACCUCAAAACUUUGAUUAGUGAUAUCACCAGCCUCGAAUCAGGAUCAGUUCUAGUCUAAAGCAAACAAGUGUUGAGGAAUAAAUAUAUAAUCCUAGGAAAGAUUAGCGUGAAUGAUUGUCUGUUAGUUGUUUCUCGACACCUCACAAGUAAAACAUAUUCCCUGUAAUAUUCCACGAAGACAUCCAAUUUUCACAAAACCAUUUCCUAGGGGCACUGUUAUCAAUGCUACGGCGAUAGAUUAAAACAAAAACAGAAAAAUAGAAACAUUUUUUUUCAGUUUCCCGUACGAAAGUGAAACAGCUUAUUCCUCUGACCGGUGAGUGUAAGAAUAUGCUUCAAAUAUCCCUAUAGCGUGAAUGUAGUAUUUUCAUACAACUAUAAAUAUAUGCAUGAACUGAGAAACUAUUCAUCAACGGACAACAUUGAAAAAUGUGAAACGUUAGGGAUUCAUUACCGGGCAAUUACUCCGUUGGCAGUAGCUUGGCCAGAAAUUGCCAAUGGCAAUUUAGUAAUAUUAGCCAGCUCACUGCCAAGGGAGAUUUGCCCCGCAAUGUACCCAUAAUAUAAUCUUUCUUCUUUCGAGCUAUAACUUAAAAGAGGUAAUAAUAUUACUGUUAUUUUGGCUCCUUGUUAUAUUCUCUCUUAUUGCUGGGGUUAAUUUUUAUUUAAUUUUCACAUUAUUAAAGGGUAGCUUAUUUUCUUUUAAACACGUUUGAUUCUAUUAACAAAAAAAAAAAAUAGAUGUUAUAAUAUCUUAUAGACUAUAACUAUAUGUUAGUAAUUACUCAAAUUUCAUAAUGAGAAAAUUACUUAUAAAAAGCUUAGACAUGCAUUUGUAAUAAAACUGUUAUUUGUACAAACCAAACCUUAUGUAACAAAGUUAAUUGGGUUCUGUAAAAACUUAUCUUCGAAUUCUACUCGAUUGUUUAUCAAAUCAAGUUCAAACACAAUUUUUUUAAAUCUCUAUAGAAAUUCAAUCAAGCUUGUACAAAUAUAUGUUCAAUUGGACUCGAUUUGUUUACACCCCUGAACACUACAGUCCAUGAUGUUUGUAAACAAGUGAAACAAUAAUAUAAGAUAUUAAAGUAUAUACUAGCAUUUUUCCCCCUUUAUUAGUGAUAUCGGUAACAACAUCAACAUUUAUGCAAAUUUAAUCAUACAAACUCAUUAAAAAAAACUAUAAAAACUUAAUUGUCAUAAUAUGAAAUUGAUCAUUAGAUAAAUCAAGCAAUUUUUUUUUUGGGAAAAUAGGAGAUAAAAUAAUAACAAUAAUAAUUAAAAAAAAAUAUAGAUGUAGUAGAUUAUGAUUGUGCUAUUAAAAAAAUAUACAUGUAGUGGAUUAUGAUUGUGUUAGCCGAGAUUUGGUGUUAAAGUAAUUAGAAAAAGAAUGGCUGCAAAAUAGAAGAUAAAAAAAAAAUAUACAUAUACAUAAUUAAUUUAUUUUUACAAAUAUGCCAUUAGGGUUUCUUAGAUUACCCUAGCGUUUCUUUCUCUUAUAUAUAAGAUAUCUAAAGUUCUAAACCUAAUGUUGAUCACAUAGAGCAUCUCCAACAAGAUGAUGUAUAUCUAUAAUUUACAUCUUUUACACAUUUUAAACCAAAAAUCACAUCUCCAACAACAAGUGGGAAGAAGGCAAUUUUUUUUACAUUUUAACUUUGCAUAUCCGAAAUUGACUAACCAAAAUUACAAUUUUACAAAUUGUGUAAAAAUAAACAAUCAUAAAAGUCCCAUCAGUGCUAUUUUUUAUAUAUUAAAUACAAUAAUUAUUAGACAGAUGGUAAUUAUUUUGCACAUAUAUGUUUCUUUUUAUUAAUAAAAUAAAGAGUGUUUAGUUUUUUUUUUUUUUUUUAAUACAUGUAUAUAUAACAUUAAAUUAUACUUUGCAAUAUAUUUUAAUUCCAAAAAGUUUCUGAGUAAAACACUAAAACAAGAUAUAUGUAUGUAUGUGAAAUUAAAAUUAUAGUUGUUAAAAUUAAUUCAGAACUAAAAUUUUUGUAAAAUAAUAAAAUAUGAUAAUUGUGUAAAAUAUAAACAAUGUUGUUGGAGUGUGUGACGUUAAAAGUGGUGUUUCAUAACACUGUUCGUCUCUUAAAUUAUAGAUAUAGACAACCGAUUUUUAAACAACUGUUGGAGAUGGCCUUACAAAUCACUAGUGUGAGUACUUUUUUCUUCAACGAGAAGAAAGUAUAUAUUUAAUAUUUGCACGUUCAUGCAUGAUUUUCUUAAUCCCCAUUGUUAUCGUUAUCCUAAACACCACUUUGCCAAUUUUCUCGUGCUCGAGUUGCCGCGCAUAUAUUAUCCAUAAUAAUAUUUACUAUUUAUUUUAAUUUAUUUUUCGUUUAUUAAUUGGUGGCACCAAAAUUUGGGAUAUACCGGAGAAAUGAGUGGCAUAUACGGAGAAAAUUCUUGCUCCUAUAUUUCUUUUUAAACAAAAGAGAAAAAUAUUUGUGUUGGGUAUCUGUUCCACAAAAGAAUCCCCUUUUAAAAAAAGAAACUAAUCCCAUUUUCAUUUUUUGCAUUAUUUUUUCCUUUUUUUUUUUCAGUGUACGUUAUAUGUUUCAAAGAAGGGGUAAAAACAAGUUAGCUAUUAUGAAAAUAAAAUUUAUAUAUACAGAAAAUUAUAAAUAUAUAUAAUAUUAAUGAGGAUCCAGAAAUUUAUUCUAUAGAAUGUGCUGUUUUUGCAUUUUCAUUUAAUGUGUUAUUAUAUAGAGUUAUCAACUUAUGAAAAAAGUGAUGGAGGCACAACACAGGCUGUAGAUUAUAUUCGCCUUCUUCGAUCUAUUGCGACCCUUUAAAUAUUAAAGGGUCGUAUCUCCAAAUUCUUCAUCAUCGAAAAAUAAGAAACCGUGUGCAUCAUUGUCCAAUCGUGGACGCAUAAUUAAUAUAGGAAAUUCCAAACCCUUUUUUUUCUCCUUUUUUAUUUUCUUAGAAAUAUAAUUUACAGCAUAAAGAAUGAUUUUUGGAAUAUACUAUUUGUACGAAAAAUUUAAGUAAUUUCCCAACAGGCUAUAUAUAUACAUAUAUUUAUUACCUCAAUACAUAGGGACAAAGCAACGGAUGAGAGAUAUAUAAUGUGUACAUGCAUUACUGGGCAAUACUCUUCUGGCAGAAGCUAUAAAAGAACAUCUGCAUGCAAGCUAAUUAGCAAAAUAAUUAUAUUGAAUUAUUUGCAGCAUGCAGAAAUACAUAAGCUACUACUGCCAAAGGAGAUUUGCCCGGCAAUCCAUCUAUACAAACUAACUGAACUAUAUGUUCUUGCAUACCUCGUCGGCUCCUCCUCGUACAUUAUAACUACCGAUCGUCGGGUAAUAUAGUU
rnacentral:lncRNA from 1 species